rnacentral:rRNA from 1 species
UAGUCCACGCCGUAAACGAUGAUAACUAGCCGUUAGAUUUAUCUAGUGGCGCAGCUAACGCAUUAAGUUAUCCGCCUGGGGAGUACGGCCGCAAGGCUAAAACUCAAAUGAAUUGACGGGGACCCGCACAAGCGGUGGAGCAUGUGGUUUAAUUCGAUGCAACGCGAAAAACCUUACCUACAAUUGACAUACUGCGAAUUUUCUAGAGAUAGAUUAGUGCCUUCGGGAACGCAGAUACAGGUGCUGCAUGGCUGUCGUCAGCUCGUGUCGUGAGAUGUUGGGUUAAGUCCUAUAACGAGCGCAACCCUUACCCUUAUUUGCCAGCGGUUCGGCCGGGAACUAUAAGGGAACUGCCGGUAAUAAGCCGGAGGAAGGUGGGGACGACGUCAAGUCAUCAUGGCCCUUACAUGUAGGGCUACACACGUGCUACAAUGGGAGAUACAAACGGUUGCCAAAGCGCGAGCUGGAGCUAAUCCGAUAAAGUCUCUCGUAGUCCGAAUUGCAGUCUGAAA